GAUGAACGCUAGCUACAGGCUUAACACAUGCAAGUCGAGGGGUAACGAGAGGAAAGCUUGCUUUCCUUGUUGACGACCGGCGCACGGGUGAGUAACGCGUAUCCAACCUGCCCCCAACUAGGGAAUAACCUUGCGAAAGUAAGACUAAUACCCUAUAAUUUCCUCAGAUGUCAUCUGACGAGGAAUAAAGAUUUAUCGGUUGUGGAUGGGGAUGCGUCUGAUUAGCUUGUUGGCGGGGUAACGGCCCACCAAGGCAACGAUCAGUAGGGGUUCUGAGAGGAAGGUCCCCCACAUUGGACCUGAGAAACGGUCCAAACUCCUACGGGAGGCAGCAGUGAGGAAUAUUGGUCAAUGGGCGGAAGCCUGAACCAGCCAAGUAGCGUGCAGGAUGACGGCCCUAUGGGUUGUAAACUGCUUUUAUACAGGAAUAAAGUUAGCCACGUGUGGUUAUUUGUAGGUACUGUAUGAAUAAGGACCGGCUAAUUCCGUGCCAGCCGCCGCAGUAA
rnacentral:rRNA from 1 species